rnacentral:lncRNA from 1 species
AACAGUAGCGCCAAAUAUUUAUUAUGGCUGAUAGUUUACUUUCAUCUCACAUGCCAAAGUAACAUCUGAAGAAUAAAAAUAACUCUGUUCACAGAGUCCAAGUUCCCUAGAGAGGAGAACUGGGCAUGUGACUGCUGACCAUAGCUUCGGAAAUGAACUUAGGUUCUUAUCAUGCUCUGCUGUAGCCAAGCUUUCGGGAAACAGAAGUCAAAGGAGAUUCCACGAAGGGAGAACAAGAUAUUGAUCAUUUUGCAUCAAGUUGAGAACAGGUAAACGAAACAGAGAGAAAGUGGUCUUUUACUUGGGACAAGGCUACAAGUCACUUUACGUAAGCCUUGUGUACAUGCAGCUAAAACAUCCUCUGCUACAACAGUCGCCUAUUUCUGAGCAUGGCUUUUCCCGUGCAACUUCUGUCCAUGUGCAAGUCCUUGUUUCACCAACCCAACUUUAUUCCCGGGAGCACUUGUGUCCUUUCUCCUCUAUUCAAGUCCAAGGUGUGUCCUAGCCAUUAUCCAUCUCACUCAGGACCCCCACAUCAAUAAAUCAAGAAGAUUGGAAGCAUGGAUCUAGGGUUCCUUGUGUUAAACAACACCCCCACUCCCUCCUUGAUAGGAAGGCCAAGGUAAGUCCGCAAAAAUUCAAAGCCUACCUGAGCUUAAAAACAGAGCAUAUAUAAUAUUGUCAUAGUCCAACGCAUCUGAUUGAGAAGAUAAGCGACAAAACAUACACAUGGACCAGGUCCCCCUGAGAAUUUCUUCCCAGCUGCACCUGUUCUCGCAGAUAAGGCCAUUGAAUCCUUGUGGUUUAGUGUGUCCAAGACGAAGUCUAGUGUUUCUAGAUCCCAUGCCGUAACUAUUUGGUUAGCAACUUUUGUCCGUGUCUCCUCCAUUUGAUGUCUGAUAUCGUAGUACUUCACCAACUAGAAGACAGAAGAGAUGUUAUUAUAGGCUGUAGCCAUCUCACGGGAAGCAGGCUUUUACCAUGGCGAGAGCCAACACCUACUACAGUUGUGCAGUACCAUGGAACUAUUCCCUUCUUGACAGACACCAUGCAUGCAAUAGUUCUAGUUUGGCCCUCUGCGUACUCUCUCUACUGUCGCAACGGCGCUAAAAUAACAAAAAAAUGAAUUGAUUGAAUAACAUUCUCUCCGAUCGAACGGUCCUCCGUUUCCUUCCCAUAUCGAACGAUCACGAGCAGCGAUGCCUUUUGCCAACUACUUGAAUGUUCCCCCUCGUCACCUACCCUGCGGUCGUUAUUGAAGCCGGCGACGGCCCCGCGUGGGCUCCAUCAUUACCGACGGUCACCGACGCAAGGCUGGUUCCGUGUCCGAUAAACGAACGGGUAGUUGGAUGGUCUCCCAUGCCCCCCUCCCCCACCUCCCUACAAGCACCACCAUCCGAUCCCUGGACCACCUUCUCGUGGAUCGUGGUCCCCAGCGGACGGCGGAUGUGCGUGCACCCAACAACCACGAGUCGCAUCACGCCUCGAUUAAGAAACCCGAGAUCGCCUAUGAUUACACCUCCAACCCGCCGUACCUACUGAACUCCGUCUCUUACAAAAAUAGACGUUCCACGUGGACCGUACGAUCCUUUAAGUGGACGGCUGAUGAUAAUCUUAAGCAGAGAUCACGACGGAGAUGUAGCGGACGAUUGUAGGCUCCAUCAUCGGUUUGAAUUGAAGUGAACUUCGUAAUGAAUGCAUUAAAUUAAACUUCAUAGCAAAUAAAAGGCACUUACCCUCUGACCGUUCGAUUGGAAUCAGACGAGCUAAAUUACUCCAUCCUCGUCAAAGCAAAUGUCCGCCGUACCUGGAAGGGGAAUCUUGAACGGUUAAUGGCAUUACUGUGGUUUAAUCAGAAUAUAAAAACUUUAUAGUAAUUCCAAAAAAAAGUAAUUAUUACGAUCCCCGCUUGCCACCAAACGACGGUUACGGACAAAACUAACCCGGGGGCCGACGGGCAGUAUCCCGUUUAAGCCCAUCCCCGAUGCAUGGGGUUUCACCGGAAUCUGGAAUUUGCAACCGGUUUGGCCGGUGGACCAAAGAGAAGCUCUGGUCCGCGAACACGUCGCGUUCCACUUGUCUUGAAAUCCCAACGGCCAGAUCCGUCCAACGGCACCGUUCCA